UCGAACGAGACCUUCGGGUCUAGUGGCGCACGGGUGCGUAACGCGUGGGAAUCUGCCCUUGGGUUCAGAAUAACAGUGAGAAAUUACUGCUAAUACCGGAUGAUGUCGAAAGACCAAAGAUUUAUCGCCCAGGGAUGAGCCCGCGUAGGAUUAGCUAGUUGGUGAGGUAAAAGCUCACCAAGGCGACGAUCCUUAGCUGGUCUGAGAGGAUGAUCAGCCACACUGGGACUGAGACACGGCCCAGACUCCUACGGGAGGCAGCAGUGGGGAAUAUUGGACAAUGGGCGAAAGCCUGAUCCAGCAAUGCCGCGUGAGUGAUGAAGGCCUUAGGGUUGUAAAGCUCUUUUACCCGGGAUGAUAAUGACAGUACCGGGAGAAUAAGCUCCGGCUAACUCCGUGCCAGCAGCCGCG
rnacentral:rRNA from 1 species